UGUUUCUAUGACAAGCUAGCGACCAAACGUCUAGCGACUAGUGACAAAUCGAGUUACUUUCCGUUAGCCUGCGUUUUUGUUGUUGAGCAGCAGCAGAAUAACCUUUGAUUUGUGAAUGACGUCAUGUUUGCCUUCCUUACUGUUCUAUCGUUCCCAAUGUUUAUAGGCAACAAGUAGGCUGUUAGGUCUAUACGUUUUUUUAUUAAUCAAUUGAUUAAUAGGUGGAUUAAUAGGCUGUUAGAUUUUUAAUUGUACUUCUGAAAUAUAUUACGUCGUCACGUGAUCUAGCAACUUUUAGCGACUUUUUAGAGAGCCAAUAGCGACUUCUGGUGAGAAUUAUUUUGCAACACUGAGACCAAUAAAAAUCAGCUCGCAGAUUCGUCUUCCUGGCAAAAUAUCCAAAAAUGGAACGAAAGUAAUAUCUGUAGGAAUCCCCCUGACUGGACACCGCCCCUUGUUGAGAAUGCGUGAGACACAAACACGUUUUGGUUUCAUUUAGUCAACUACGAGUGUGGACGACAAUUGGUACACAUACUCUAACAAUGGAUAUUAUUGAAGGAGAAUUGACGUGUGUCAUCUGCUUGUUAACUCUGACCGAGCCUCACCAAUAUCCAUGUGGACACAGCUACUGCCUGUCCUGCAUUACUGCCAUGAGGCGCUUACAGGACUACCAAUGUCCAGAGUGUCGAAAAGUCUUCCCCAGAAACGAAGACGUCAUUAAGAACUACCGCCUUGCUAACAUCGCCGAAGCUUACAAGAAAUCGGCGCUCUCUGAGGUGAUUUUACAGUAUUCUCCAAUUCAAAGAAUUAGGUCAUGCGACAUUGUGACAUGGCCACAGGCUCUGAUGAUAAUCAUAGCAACGACUUUCCUCCUUAAAGUACUUACAUACUUAGUACUUGAUACUGCGGAAAACACAGUAGAGCAGAGAUCUCAGCUGGAGCCGGACUUCUGUCCUGCUGAUCUGGAACAACAGG